rnacentral:rRNA from 1 species
UACGUAGGGUGCGAGCGUUAAUCGGAAUUACUGGGCGUAGAGCGUGCGCAGGCGGUUUUGUAAGCCAGAUGUGAAAGCCCCGGGCUCAACCUGGGAAUGGCAUUUGGGACUGCAAGGCUGGAGUUUGGCAGAGGAGACUGGAAUUCCUGGUGUAGCAGUGAAAUGCGUAGAUAUCAGGAGGAAUACCGAUGGCGAAGGCAGGUCUCUGGGCUAUAACUGACGCUCAUGCACGAAAGCGUGGGGAGCAAACAGG